AACGAACGCUGGCGGCAUGCCUAACACAUGCAAGUCGAACGGACGGUAGCAAUACCGUUAGUGGCGGACGGGUGAGUAACGCGUGGGAACCUGCCUCGAAGUUCGGAAUAACCGCGGGAAACUGCGGCUAAUACCGGAUGUGGCCUGAGGGUCAAAGGCGCAAGUCGCUUCGAGAGGGGCCCGCGUCCGAUUAGCUAGUUGGUGGGGUAACGGCCUACCAAGGCGACGAUCGGUAGCUGGUCUGAGAGGAUGAUCAGCCACACUGGGACUGAGACACGGCCCAGACUCCUACGGGAGGCAGCAGUGGGGAAUAUUGGACAAUGGGGGGAAACCCUGACCCAGCAAUGCCGCGUGGGUGAUGAAGGCCUUCGGUUGUAAG
rnacentral:rRNA from 1 species